GACGAACGCUGGCGGCGUGCUUAACACAUGCAAGUCGAGCGGUAAGGCCCCUUUUGGGGGGUACACGAGCGGCGAACGGGUGAGUAACACGUGGGUGACCUGCCUUCAGCUCUGGGAUAAGCCUGGGAAACUGGGUCUAAUACCGGAUAUGACCUUUGCCUGCAUGGGUGGGGGUGGAAAGAUUUGUUUUGGCUGGGGAUGGGCCUGCGGUCUAUCAGCUUGUUGGUGGGGUGAUGGCCUACCAAGGCGACGACGGGUAGCCGGCCUGAGAGGGCGACCGGCCACACUGGGACUGAGACACGGCCCAGACUCCUACGGGAGGCAGCAGUGGGGAAUAUUGCGCAAUGGGCGGAAGCCUGACGCAGCGACGCCGCGUGGGGA
rnacentral:rRNA from 1 species